ACCAGGCUGUUGAAAUAGAGCAAAGUCCACAAGAUUUCCACUGAGAUGUGCUGAGCAAAGGCCAGAGCCCCAGAACGAAACAAGUACAGACUCUGAGCAAAGCUCCCCUCAUGCUGAGAGUGAACCCACUGGCCCCUGGGAUCCAGGUGAUUGGUAAUGACCCCUGUGAUGCUGGCACUCAUGAGGGAGCUCCCUGGGUGGUUCCUGGUCACUGUGGUCUUCCUACCCGUGGCUCUGCUGCUAUUCCUUCUCAUCGCCUACUUCAGGAUCAAGCUGAUGGAGGUUAAUGAAGAACUGUCGCAGACCCCCCAACACCAGCACAAACACGAGGCUGGCUCUGACCUGUACCAGAGGAGGAAAAGAACGUGACCUGGGGACUGACCCGUAGCAAAUUUCUACUGAGCAGAGAGCAACAGUCAAUGGCUUAGCUCCUAACAUAAGUUCAUAAACUCGAACAACAACACAAAUAGAGUACUAAAAAGCUGGUUCCGAACCACUUUGCAAAGUGGCAGCUGUUACCCUGGGGGGAUGUCUACAAGACUCCGUUAAAGAGCAGUUCGUCGGAGAGUACCAAGAAUACAAGAUUUUCUUGGAUGUGCAGUAUGGACUGGACACUUAGCAUCUUUUUAACUUUUAUAAGACUCUGUCUAUUCUGAAGGACACUAUUUUUAAAAUAAAACUCAAGUAUCCUUAUUACAUAA